rnacentral:rRNA from 1 species
CUCCCUCGUUGCUGAUCUCAGGUUCGAUAAUGCCAAUAUCGCACCACCUCGCCUAAAACCAACUUCGAUGAAGCGACGGGCGGUGUGUG